rnacentral:rRNA from 1 species
CAGUCGCCACGGUAAUACGAAGGGUGCUAGCGUUGUUCGGAAUUACUGGGCGUAAAGCGCGCGUAGGCGGCUUUUUAAGUCAGAGGUGAAAGCCCGGGGCUCAACCCCGGAAUUGCCUUUGAAACUGGAAAGCUAGAAUCUUGGAGAGGUCAGUGGAAUUCCGAGUGUAGAGGUGAAAUUCGUAGAUAUUCGGAAGAACACCAGUGGCGAAGGCGACUGACUGGACAAGUAUUGACGCUGAGGUGCGAAAGCGUGGGGAGCAAACAGGAUUAGAUACCCGAGUAGUCCCUGUCUCUUAUAC